GAUGAACGCUGGCGGCGUGCUUAACACAUGCAAGUCGAACGAGAAGUGGAGACGGAAACCUUCGGGCGGAAGACUUUAUUUCGAGUGGCGGACGGGUGAGUAACGCGUGGGUAACCUGCCUCAUACAGGGGGAUAACAGUUGGAAACGACUGUUAAUACCGCAUAAGACCACAGCACCGCAUGGUGCGGGGGUAAAAACUCCGGUGGUAUGAGAUGGACCCGCGUUCGAUUAGCCAGUUGGCGGGGUAACGGCCCACCAAAGCGACGAUCGAUAGCCGAUCUGAGAGGAUGACCGGCCACAUUGGGACUGGGACACGGCCCAGACUCCUACGGGAGGCAGCAGUGGGGAAUAUUGCACAAUGGGGGAAACCCUGAUGCAGCGACGCCGCGUGAGUGAAGAAGUAUUUCGGUAUGUAAAGCUCUAUCAGCAGGGAAGAAAAUGACGGUACCUGAGGAAGAAGCCCCGGCUAACUACGUG
rnacentral:rRNA from 1 species